GCAUAUCAAUAAGCGGAGGAAAAGAAACCAACCGGGAUUGCCUUAGUAACGGCGAGUGAAGCGGCAAAAGCUCAAAUUUGAAAUCUGGUACCUUCGGUGCCCGAGUUGUAAUUUGUAGAGGGCGACUUUGGGGCGGCUCCUUGUCUAUGUUCCUUGGAACAGGACGUCAUAGAGGGUGAGAAUCCCGUGUGGCGAGGAGUGCGGUUCCGUGUAAAGCGCUCUCGAAGAGUCGAGUUGUUUGGGAAUGCAGCUCUAAGUGGGUGGUAAAUUCCAUCUAAAGCUAAAUAUUGGCGAGAGACCGAUAGCGAACAAGUACAGUGAUGGAAAGAUGAAAAGAACUUUGAAAAGAGAGUGAAAAAGUACGUGAAAUUGUUGAAAGGGAAGGGCAUUUGAUCAGACAUGGUGUUUUGUGCCCCUCGCUCCUUGUGGGUGGGGGAAUCUCGCAGCUCACUGGGCCAGCAUCAGUUUUGGCGGUCGGAUAAAACCAGGGGAACGUAGCUUGCUUCGGGAAGUAUUAUAGCCUCUGGGAAUACGGCCAGCCGGGACUGAGGAACGCGAUUCGUCAAGGAUGCUGGCAUAAUGGUUAUAUGCCGCCCGUCUUGAAACACGGACCAAGGAGUCUAACGUCUAUGCGAGUGUUUGGGUGUGAAACCCAUACGCGUAAUGAAAGUGAACGUAGGUUGGGGCCUGUCAAAGGGUGCACAAUCGACCGAUCCUGAUGUUUUCAGAUGGAUUUGAGUAAGAGCAUAGCUGUUGGGACCCGAAAGAUGGUGAACUAUGCCUGAAUAGGGUGAAGCCAGAGGAAACUCUGGUGGAGGCUCGUAGCGGUUCUGACGUGCAAAUCGAUCGUCGAAUUUGGGUAUAGGGGCGAAAGACCUAAUCGAACCAUCUAGUAGCUGGUUCCUGCCGAAGU
rnacentral:rRNA from 1 species